UCCAGACUCCUACGGGAGGCAGCAGUGGGGAAUAUUGCACAAUGGGGGAAACCCUGAUGCAGCGACGCCGCGUGAGUGAAGAAGUAAUUCGUUAUGUAAAGCUCUAUCAGCAGGGAAGAAAAUGACGGUACCUGAGUAAGAAGCCCCGGCUAACUACGUGCCAGCAGCCGCGGUAAUACGUAGGGGGCAAGCGUUAUCCGGAUUUACUGGGUGUAAAGGGAGCGUAGGCGGCCUGGCAAGCCUGAUGUGAAAUACCGGGGCCCAACCCCGGGGCUGCAUUGGGAACUGCCAGGCUGGAGUGCCGGAGAGGCAGGCGGAAUUCCUAGUGUAGCGGUGAAAUGCGUAGAUAUUAGGAGGAACACCAGUGGCGAAGGCGGCCUGCUGGACGGUGACUGACGCUGAGGCUCGAAAGCGUGGGGAGCAAACAGGAUUAGAUACCCGCGUA
rnacentral:rRNA from 1 species